CAUCAGGUGAUCAACCAUCAGGUGAUCAAUCAUCAGGUGAUCAGUCAUCAGGUGAUCAACCAUCAGGUGAUCAGUCAUCAGGUGAUCAGUCAUCAGGUGAUCAGUCAUCAGGUGAUCAACCAUCAGGUGAUCAGUCAUCAGGUGAUCAACCAUCAGGUGAUCAGCCAUCAGGUGAUCAGCCAUCAGGUGAUCAAUCAUCAGGUGAUCAACCAUCAGGUGAUCAACCAUCAGGUGAUCAAUCAUCAGGUGAUCAACCAUCAGGUGAUCAGUCAUCAGGUGAUCAAUCAUCAGGUCCUGGAUCUUUUAACUG